rnacentral:rRNA from 1 species
UACGAAGGGGGCUAGCGUUGUUCGGAAUUACUGGGCGUAAAGCGCACGUAGGCGGAUAUUUAAGUCAGGGGUGAAAUCCCAGAGCUCAACUCUGGAACUGCCUUUGAUACUGGGUAUCUUGAGUAUGGAAGAGGUAAGUGGAAUUGCGAGUGUAGAGGUGAAAUUUCGUAGAUAUUCGCAGGAACACCAGUGGCGAAGGCGGCUUACUGGUCCGGUACUGACGCUGAGGCUCGAAAGUGCGGGGAUCAAACAGGG